CACGUAGUUAGCCGGUACUUCUUCUGCAGGUACCGUCACCCAAAGGCUUCUUCCCUACUGAAAGAGGUUUACAACCCGAAGGCCGUCAUCCCCCACGCGGCGUCGCUGCAUCAGGGUUCCCCCCAUUGUGCAAUAUUCCCCACUGCUGCCUCCCGUAGGAGUCUGGGCCGUGUCCCAGUCCCAGUGUGGCCGGUCGCCCUCUCAGGCCGGCUACCCGUCGUCGUCUUGGUAGGCCAUUACCCCACCAACAAACUGAUAGGCCGCGAGCCCAUCCCCAACCGAAAACUUUCCACCACCCAACAUGCGAAAGAUGGUCAUAUCCGGUAUUAGACCCAGUUUCCCAGGCUUAUCCCGAAGUCAGGGGCAGGUUACUCACGUGAUACUCACCCGUUCGCCACUCAUCCACCCAGUGCAAGCACCAAGCUUCAGCGUUCGACUUGCAUGUGUUAAGCACGCCGCCAGCGUCGUCCUCGAGUCCACGGACGUCGAAACCUAC
rnacentral:rRNA from 1 species